rnacentral:rRNA from 1 species
GACAGAGGUGCCGAGCGUUAGGCGGAAUCACUGGGCUUAAAGCGUGUGUAGGCGGGCCCGUAAGUACCUUGUGAAAUCCCACGGCUCAACCGUGGAACGGCUGGGUAUACUGCGGGCCUUGAGCGGCCUAGGGGCAGACAGAACAAGUGGUGGAGCGGUGAAAUGCGUAGAUAUCACUUGGAACGCCGACGGUGAAAACAGUCUGCUGGGGGCCUGCUGACGCUGAGACACGAAAGCCAGGGGAGCGAACGGG